rnacentral:misc_RNA from 1 species
CUCAGGUAUAAUUCCUUUUGCAAUUAGACAUAAAGCAACAAGGUAUCAAGUAAUUAACAACUCAAUUAAGAUGGAAUAAAUCCAUCAUGUUCAGUUCUUCAAGUAAUAUAACUACAAAAAUAUAGUUUCUUUUUCCUUGUUCAAUUGCAAAUCUUCCCUGUGGACUUUCUCAAGUAAUUAACUCAAAUAGAAUCAGUGGAAUCAAUUCCUGUCAUAUCAACAUUAAGCCUAACAGAAACCACUGCUACAAAAAUAUAUUUUUUUGUUCUUUUUUUUUUUCCAUAUCAGAAUUCUCAAAAGUAAAGGCACCAUGACACCCAGAUGCGUCAUGUACUCUGGUUUCUUUAAACCAACCAAACGCACAUAGAUUGCAUAUCCAAACCACCAUGGCAAAGAAUAAGGAAUAACAACUAUGCUUUCCGUUGACCACCAAACACCAGCUUUGUUCCCCAGUUUUACUGGACCUGCGGUAUGGAAUGUAUCUGUGGUCCUUUGAAGCAUUCUUCCUCCUCCUUUCCUCAAUGAAAGAUUCAAGCCAGCCAGAUUCCUUAAGUUUGGAGAAUUUCUUGAUUAGCCUUUGCUUCCGUAUUUCAGCUGCAAAGAACAAGCUAGUCAGCAUUCAUGUACUAUCUAUCUGAAUGACCUGUCUAUUCGUUCAUUUAAGCAAAUACUUGGACAGACUAAAAAUGAUAAUAAAAUAAGGGGACAAACAGACAGAUGAUUUGACUUGAAUUAGGCUUGAACUAUGAAGAAGGAUUACUGCUUCUGACAAUAACUUCAAGUUGUCCGCAUAUCACGACCACCAGCAAUACAAAGCCAAAGACCCUGACCAACAACUUCUAGGGUUUAUAUUUAUUUAUUCUUCUAACUACAAUUAUUUCAGUAGAAAUCUCACUUUCCAUUCUUGCCGUAAUUAUUGUCCCCGCACAGAACAACAUGAAGAUCCAUCAACACUAGCCAUGCUAUCAAGUAUCAACAUUGUUAAAGUGCAGUUCUAUUCAAAAUAUUCAAAGCACUACUUUGCCAUGCUUUUUUCACUAAACAUGCUUUACCUUUCAAUGGAUGGCAAAAGUAAUUCAAAUGCAGUGGCCUCAGCUCCUUGAUUCAUAAUGGCAAACCACCAUUAUCAACGUGAUAAGAGCAUACAUGCAUGCUCAAGGUUCAAUUUCCUUUUUACAGCCAAAACAAGUCUAAGAGAUCAGCAACUUCAGGAAAGUCGUCUGGAAGUUGCUUUCUGAUAGCAAAAAAGAGAUAUAAUAGCGCGCGCGCGUGCGCGCACACACAGAGAUAAAGAGUGCGUUACAUUUCUACAAAUAAAAUGGCUGUUUGCCUUGCUUUGCUGCUUCUCUCUCUUUCUUCUUGUGCUCAGCCAGCAUUGAAGCAUCAGUUUGUUUUGUUGACUCAAACUUUAAUUGUUUAUCAAUCCAAGAUAUACGGUUCUUCAAUUGAUCAAUAACUUUCGGGUCAUUAGAUUUCUUCAGUUGCUUCUUUAAUUCCUCUCUUUCAGUAGGAAGGUUGUUCUCAAAUAGAAAAUUGUACCUUUUCCUAAACCUACAAAAUCCAUUAGUGACUAUUAUUUACACAUCCAUGAGAGAGAGGGAAUUGUACAAAGCACACAAUUUUUCUUGAUACCCCAAUUAAAUUAGAAACAUAUCAGUUAGCAAUAAAUUCAAGAGUUGUCAGCUUUAAUGACAACACAACUACAAUAUACAAAAACAAUCAGAAUGCUGAAGAACAAGAAUCAACUAGCUGAGAGAACCAUCUAAUAUUUAACUGAUUCCCAGACAAAAAGAAUUAGUAUCCUUUGGUUAAUGUACUCCAUGGCUAAGGCCUAAGGGAAGAACAUUCCUAGUUACAAAAUUCAAUAAAAUAGAAGCUUGAAAAAACUAUAGCGUGAUGAAGUGUUAUGGAUAAUAGUCCAUGAAUUUCAAUAAAUUUAUGUUGUGAAUAGGCCACAACCAAACAGAAAAUAUAGGAAAAGGGGAAGAAAAUAGAAGAAAGGGAAGAAGAGGACGGAUCAAUGGAAAAGUUGAAGAAGGAGGAGGAGGAAGAAAGGGGAGAGAGAGUAUAGAUAAGGAAUUUCUUGUAUUAUUGGCUGAUUGAUGUACUCUUUACAAUCUCAAGAUUUAUACAAGAAUUACAUUUUCCCAUCUCCCUAUGUUAUUCUGUUAUACAAUUAGUUACAGCUGCAACUAAUCUCCAACUCACUAAUUGCUCUCUUUGAUUAUUAUUGACUCAGCUAUCACUCACAUCACAGCUGACAUAGUCACAACAUUACCUCCCCUGUGAGACCAUUCUUUUCCUCAAGAAUGAGUUGAAGAAAUGGGCCUUUAAUGAAGGUUAAUGUUCAAAAGCAGCAUCCUGCAUAUUGAAACUGGCCUUUAAUAAAGCAUUUUCCAAAUGCUUGCUCAAGAUGGCACUUCCAUAUGUUACAGUUGUCCAAGAAUGAUGGCUUAAGUUCUGCAAAUGACAGAGACUGAACUUCCAUUGCAUAAAGGCACAUGAACACCUUCUAAAGAUGCACCGUUAAUUGACAAUGAUUUAAAUUUCUUUCUAUUUCUUCUCCAAAUUUCCAAUUCUUGUUCCUUCAAGAUCACAAAACCAUUAGAUGUCCAGCCAAAAUGGUGAUCUCAUUCCCAUAUUUAUUCAUAUUUUCGCAGCUAGAAAAUAUACCAAUCUUAGAAUUCUUCUUAUCAAGAAACAUGAUACCAUUGCAAUUCACUUUGGCAUUUUCAUAAACAGUUUCAACGCCUGACUUGUCGACUGUCAAGGGACACAUUUUCUUCUUCUGUCUUAUCCUAAUUUCAAAUACAUUCUCCUUGAGCAUUAUAUGAAAGCAGUAUCUCAACUUCAAUAAACUACCACCAAGAAUGCAGUCCCUUUUUUCACAGUUUAUUUCUUCAUGAACUUCCCCACUUUCUACUUUAAUAACAUUCUCAACAAUAUUGCUCUCUUUGUUUCCAAAAACCCAACCUCUAGGGUUACUACCAUCAAUUUGAGGCAAAUUCACUUUCUGUUUCAUCCCAGAAAUACCGAAACUCUUUAGCCCUUGAACGCUAUUAGUAGAAUCCCCAUUUUCCCUUCCUUUAGGCAGAGGCAAAAUACCCCUUGAUUCAUUAUUGUUAGCCCUUAUCUCAUUAGAAUUAACCCUAAUUUCAGGCACAUUGGACUGAGUUUUAGGAAUCAGGGGUUCUUUACCGUUUUCUUGCGAGGCUCUCAUCA